CUACGGAGGGUGCAAGCGUUAUUCGGAAUCACUGGGCGUAAAGGACGCGUAGGCGGGUUGGCAAGUCAGAUGUGAAAUCCUACAGCUUAACUGUAGAACUGCAUUUGAAACUGCUAACCUAGAGUAUGGGAGGGGGAGAUGGAAUUAGUAGUGUAGGGGUAAAAUCCGUAGAUAUCACUAGGAAUACCGAAAGCGAAGGCGAUCUCCUGGAACAUAACUGACGCUAAGGCGUGAAAGCGUGGGGAGCAAACAGGAGUAGAAACCCUAGUAGUCC
rnacentral:rRNA from 1 species